AUUGAACGCUGGCGGCAUGCCUUACACAUGCAAGUCGAACGGUAACGGGCCUUCGGGUGCCGACGAGUGGCGAACGGGUGAGUAAUGCAUCGGAACGUACCUUUCAGUGGGGGAUAACGUAGCGAAAGUUACGCUAAUACCGCAUAUUCUGUGAGCAGGAAAGCAGGGGAUCGCAAGACCUUGCGCUGAUUGAGCGGCCGAUGUCAGAUUAGAUGGGUGGUGAGGUAAAGGCUCACCAAGGCGACGAUCUGUAGCGGGUCUGAGAGGAUGAUCCGCCGCACUGGAACUGAGACACGGUCCAGACUCCUACGGGAGGCAGCAGUGGGGAAUUGUGGACAAUGGGGGCAACCCUGAUCCAGCCAUGCCGCGUGAGUGAAGAAGGCCUUCGGGUUGUAAAGCUCUUUCGGCCGGGAAGAAAUCGUAUGGGCUAAUACCCUGUGCGGAUGACGGUACCGGCAUAAGAAGCACCGGCUAACUACGUGCCAGCCGCCGCAGUAAUAC
rnacentral:rRNA from 1 species